CGGGUAAGUUCCGACCCGCACGAAAGGCGUAACGAUUUGGGCACUGUCUCAACAACAGACUCGGUGAAAUUGUAAUUCCGGUGAAGAUGCCGGAUACCUGCGACAGGACGGAAAGACCCCAUGGAGCUUUACUGUAGCUUGACAUUGGGGCUUGGUACUACAUGUACAGGAUAGGUGGGAGGCUUUGAACCCAGGACGCCAGUUUUGGCGGAGCCAUCCUUGGGAUACCACCCUUGUAGUACUGGGACUCUAACCAUAGGCCAUGAAUCUGGUCUUG
rnacentral:rRNA from 1 species